UAUCCACGGCCAUAGGACUCUGAAAGCACCGCAUCCCGUCCGAUCUGCGCAGUUAACCAGAGUGCCGCCCAGUUAGUACCACGG
rnacentral:rRNA from 1 species